rnacentral:lncRNA from 1 species
GUGGUAAAAAUAAUAAAAUGGAAGUGGAAUAAAUAAAAAGAAACAAAUUUGCACAUGCUAGGGGUUGAAACCCUGACUUUAGGGUCAUGGGGGAUCAACCCCCUCUCCCACUGGGCCAAGCGGUCGCUUGUGAAAACAAACGCACUGAACAUAAUAAAUAAUAAAAACAACAAUUAAAAUGGAAGCGCACACGUAUCAA